rnacentral:rRNA from 1 species
AGUGAACGCUGGCGGUAGGCCUAACACAUGCAAGUCGAACGGCAGCACAGGAGAGCUUGCUCUCUGGGUGGCGAGUGGCGGACGGGUGAGGAAUACAUCGGAAUCUGCCCAGUCGUGGGGGAUAACGUAGGGAAACUUACGCUAAUACCGCAUACGACCUUCGGGUGAAAGAGGGGGAUCGCAAGACCUCUCGCGAUUGGAUGAGCCGAUGUCGGAUUAGCUAGUUGGCGGGGUAAUGGCCCACCAAGGCGACGAUCCGUAGCUGGUCUGAGAGGAUGAUCAGCCACACUGGAACUGAGACACGGUCCAGACUCCUACGGGAGGCAGCAGUGGGGAAUAUUGGACAAUGGGCGCAAGCCUGAUCCAGCCAUACCGCGUGGGUGAAGAAGGCCUUUGGGUUGUAAAGCCCUUUUGUUGGGAAAGAAAUCUUUCAGGCUAAUACCCUGGGAGGAUGACGGUACCCAAAGAAUAAGCACCGGCUAACUUCGUG